UUAGUAUUUUCAUAAAAAUUAUUUCAAAAUACAUAGCACCAGUGGGUCAGUGAGUUUUUUUGGGUUUGGUUCGGUUUUACUCGAAACCCGAUAUUUUUUAUGGGUUUUCCAUUUUUGAAACCCGGUUAUCCAUUUUUUUUGGGUUGGGUCCGGUUUUCCACCCACUAACCCGACCCGACCCAAUUUUUUGGGUUGGAUUGGGUGGGUUUGACCGGGUCGACUGGAUUUGUCCAAUCCAUGUACACCCCUAAUUUUGGGUCAAUGCAUCAAAUUUGAACGAUUAGUAUUUGUAGUUAUAGAUGC
rnacentral:lncRNA from 1 species